UCCNCUAAUGGGGUAUUGUUCUUGCAUGC
rnacentral:piRNA from 1 species